GGGAUUGCCUCAGUAACGGCGAGUGAAGCGGCAACAGCUCAAAUUUGAAAUCUGGCGCACGCCCGAGUUGUAAUUUGGAGAGGAUGCUUCAGGGCAGCGGCCGGUCUAAGUUCCUUGGAACGGGACGUCAUAGAGGGUGAGAAUCCCGUAUGCGACCGGUUGGCACCCGUCACGUAGCUCCUUCGACGAGUCGAGUUGUUUGGGAAUGCAGCUCUAAAUGGGAGGUAAAUUUCUUCUAAAGCUAAAUACCGGCCAGAGACCGAUAGCGCACAAGUAGAGUGAUCGAAAGAUGAAAAGCACUUUGGAAAGAGAGUUAAAAAGCACGUGAAAUUGUUGAAAGGGAAGCGCAUGCCACCAGACUUGUCGGCGGUGUUCCGCCGGUCUUCUGACCGGUCUACUCGCCGCCGGCAGGCCAGCAUCAUCUGGGCGCGCCGGACAAAGGCACGGGGAAUGUGGCUCCUCGGAGUGUUAUAGCCCCGCGCACAAUACGGCGCCGCCCGGGUGAGGUCCGCGCUUCGGCUAGGAUGCUGGCGUAAUGGUGGUCUGCGGCCCGUCUUGAAACACGGACCAAGGAGUCUAACAUCUAUGCGAGUGUUCGGGUGUCAAACCCCUACGCGGAAUGAAAGUGAACGGAGGUGGGAAGCGUAAGCUGCACCAUCGACCGAUCCUGAUGUCUUCGGAUGGAUUUGAGUAAGAGCAUAGCUGUUGGGACCCGAAAGAUGGUGAACUAUGCCUGAAUAGGGUGAAGCCAGAGGAAACUCUGGUGGAGGCUCGCAGCGGUUCUGACGUGCAAAUCGAUCGUCAAAUUUGGGUAUAGGGGCG
rnacentral:rRNA from 1 species